rnacentral:misc_RNA from 1 species
AAGGAUCAUUAAUGAAGUAGGGCAUGUGUUCGCACAGUCCAACCCUCAUUUCUAACUCUGUGCACUAUUUGGUGGUCCAGAAGCCAUUCGAGACCACGGCUCAUUUUAUAACACGAGUUAAAGAAUGUAAUUAAAUAUAAAACAAAAAAAAAAACUUUCAACAACGGAUCUCUUGGCUCUC